CCCACAGUCAUAGCUGUGCCACAGGCCUGGGAGGCUGAGCUUGGGGAACGGCCCCUGACCCAGCCCCAGGGUGGCUGCAGCCAUCAGCAGCAAGAUGCCAUAGAAACGCCCGGUCAUGGUGGAAGCUCCCGCAGUCAGUCUCCCAGGCCACUGAGAUUACAGAAGUGUGCCACUGCACCCUGCUUCUGAUGAACAUCUUAAUCUGAAAAUCCAAGAUCUGAAAUACUCUUUUUAAGUGCUGACACAAAACACUAGUGGAAGAUUCUACCCUCAGUAUUAUGUGAUGGUCACAGUUGAAACACAGUUUUUCUGUUACUCAGAACAGUUCUAAGGAAUGGCCACCGCCUUACGGAGUUCACUACACGCCAGGCUCUGCCCUGACGCCUCGAGGGUGCCGCUCAUUACACGGCCUCCUCCUUUGAGGGACUUCAGGGCACUAAUUGAAGGAGCAAUGAUGAGCCCAGGGCCCAGCAGAGUGUGAACUCAGCAAAUGCCAGCAAGUGUGGGUCAUUGGAAUUCGCAGCAGCUGGAGGAGCUUGUGGCUCAUGCCCCACAGCCUGGUUCCUGUCCCCUGCAGUUCUACCUGUGACCUGGGCUGCGUUGUGUUUUCUGAGCUUUGAGGCUGAUGAUCGUAGACGGCAAUGCUUACCUUGCAGGGUGG